CUACGGGGGCUCCAGUGGGGAAUAUUGGGCAAUGGGCGCAAGCCUGACCCAGCAACGCCGCGUGAGGGAAGAAGGUUUUCGGAUUGUAAACCUCUGUCCUUGGGGACGAAGAAGUGACGGUACCCAAGGAGGAAGCUCCGGCUAACUACGUGCCAGCAGCCGCGGUAAUACGUAGGGAGCAAGCGUUGUCCGGAAUUACUGGGCGUAAAGGGUGCGUAGGCGGCAUAUUAAGUCAGGUGUGAAAUACUCGGGCUCAACCCGGGGGCUGCAUUUGAAACUGAUAUGCUUGGUGUGAGAGAGGAAAGUGGAAUUCCUAGUGUAGCGGUGGAAUGCGUAGAUAUUAGGAGGAACACCAGUGGCGAAGGCGACUUUCUGGCUCAUAACUGACGCUGAGGCACGAAAGCGUGGGGAGCAAACAGGAUUAGAUACCCCAGUAGUC
rnacentral:rRNA from 1 species